rnacentral:rRNA from 1 species
GGUUAAGCGACUAAGCGUACACGGUGGAUGCCCAGGCAGUCAGAGGCGAUGAAGGGCGUGCUAAUCUGCGAUAAGCGUCGGUAAGGUGAUAUGAACCGCAACAACCGACGAUACCCGAAUGGGGAAACCCAGUGCAAUCCGUUGCACUAUCAUGUCAUGAAUACAUAGUGGCAUGAGGCGAACCGGGGGAACUGAAACAUCUAAGUACCCCGAGGAAAAGAAAUCAACCGAGAUUCCCCAGUAGCGGCGAGCGAACGGGGAACAGCCCAGAACCUGAAUCAGUUUGUGCCUUAGUGGAAGCGUCUGGAAAGUCGCGCAGUAAAGGGUGACAGCCCCGUACACAAAAAGGCACUUGCUGUGAGUUCGAUGAGUAGGGCGGGACACGUGACAUCCUGUCUGAAUAUGGGGGGACCAUCCUCCAAGGCUAAAUACUCCUGACUGACCGAUAGUGAACCAGUACCGUGAGGGAAAGGCGAAAAGAACCCCGGCGAGGGGAGUGAAACAGAACCUGAAACCGUGUACGUACAAGCAGUGGGAGCACCUUCGUGGUGUGACUGCGUACCUUUUGUAUAAUGGGUCAGCGACUUAUAUUCUGUAGCAAGGUUAACCGUAUAGGGGAGCCGCAGGGAAACCGAGUCUUAACUGGGCGUUAAGUUGCAGGGUAUAGACCCGAAACCCGGUGAUCUAGCCAUGGGCAGGUUGAAGGUUGGGUAACACUAACUGGAGGACCGAACCGACUAAUGUUGAAAAAUUAGCGGAUGACCUGUGGCUGGGGGUGAAAGGCCAAUCAAACCGGGAGAUAGCUGGUUCUCCCCGAAAGCUAUUUAGGUAGCGCCUCGUGAAUUCAUCUCCGGGGUAGAGCACUGUUUCGGCUAGGGGCCAUCCCGGCUUACCAACCCGAUGCAAACUGCGAAUACCGGAGAAUGUUAUCACGGGAGACACACGGCGGGUGCUAACGUCCGUCGUGAAGAGGGAAACAACCCAGACCGCCAGCUAAGGUCCCAAAGUCAUGGUUAAGUGGGAAACGAUGUGGGAAGGCACAGACAGCCAGGAUGUUGGCUUAGAAGCAGCCAUCAUUUAAAGAAAGCGUAAUAGCUCACUGGUCGAGUCGGCCUGCGCGGAAGAUGUAACGGGGCUAAACCAUGCACCGAAGCUGCGGCAGCGGACGUAUCACCCAAGCAGAUUCACUGAAGUGGAUAACGAUUGACGGAGCGCAGCGACGUCAAUGCGCCAUCAAAGUCGAGUCGACUUCGGGAUACGUCCGUUGGGUAGGGGAGCGUUCUGUAAGCCGUCGAAGGUGUGCUGUGAGGCAUGCUGGAGGUAUCAGAAGUGCGAAUGCUGACAUAAGUAACGAUAAAGCGGGUGAAAAGCCCGCUCGCCGGAAGACCAAGGGUUCCUGUCCAACGUUAAUCGGGGCAGGGUGAGUCGACCCCUAAGGCGAGGCCGAAAGGCGUAGUCGAUGGGAAACGGGUUAAUAUUCCCGUACUGGGUGUUACUGCGAAGGGGGGACGGAGAAGGCUAUGUUAGCCGGGCGACGGUUGUCCCGGUUUAAGCGUGCAGGCUUGAGUUCCAGGCAAAUCCGGAACUCUUUAAGGCUGAGGCGUGAUGACGAGGCACCACGGUGCUGAAGUAACAAAUGCCCUGCUUCCAGGAAAAGCCUCUAAGCAUCAGGUAACAUCCAAUCGUACCCCAAACCGACACAGGUGGUCAGGUAGAGAAUACCAAGGCGCUUGAGAGAACUCGGGUGAAGGAACUAGGCAAAAUGGUGCCGUAACUUCGGGAGAAGGCACGCUGGCGCGUAGGUGAAGCGACUUGCUCGUGGAGCUGAAGCCAGUCGAAGAUACCAGCUGGCUGCAACUGUUUAUUAAAAACACAGCACUGUGCAAACACGAAAGUGGACGUAUACGGUGUGACGCCUGCCCGGUGCCGGAAGGUUAAUUGAUGGGGUUAUCCGUAAGGAGAAGCUCUUGAUCGAAGCCCCGGUAAACGGCGGCCGUAACUAUAACGGUCCUAAGGUAGCGAAAUUCCUUGUCGGGUAAGUUCCGACCUGCACGAAUGGCGUAAUGAUGGCCAGGCUGUCUCCACCCGAGACUCAGUGAAAUUGAACUCGCUGUGAAGAUGCAGUGUACCCGCGGCAAGACGGAAAGACCCCGUGAACCUUUACUACAGCUUGACACUGAACAUUGAGCCUUGAUGUGUAGGAUAGGUGGGAGGCUUUGAAGCGUGGACGCCAGUCUGCGUGGAGCCAACCUUGAAAUACCACCCUUUAACGUUUGAUGUUCUAACCUGGCGCCGUAAUCCGGCGUGGGGACAGUGUCUGGUGGGUAGUUUGACUGGGGCGGUCUCCUCCCAAAGAGUAACGGAGGAGCACGAAGGUCAGCUAAUCACGGUCGGACAUCGUGAGGUUAGUGCAAUGGCAUAAGCUGGCUUGACUGCGAGAGUGACGGCUCGAGCAGGUGCGAAAGCAGGUCAUAGUGAUCCGGUGGUUCUGAAUGGAAGGGCCAUCGCUCAACGGAUAAAAGGUACUCCGGGGAUAACAGGCUGAUACCGCCCAAGAGUUCAUAUCGACGGCGGUGUUUGGCACCUCGAUGUCGGCUCAUCACAUCCUGGGGCUGAAGUAGGUCCCAAGGGUACGGCUGUUCGCCGUUUAAAGUGGUACGCGAGCUGGGUUUAGAACGUCGUGAGACAGUUCGGUCCCUAUCUGCCGUGGGCGCUGGAAGAUUGAGAGGGGUUGCUCCUAGUACGAGAGGACCGGAGUGAACGCACCGCUGGUGUUCGGGUUGUCAUGCCAAUGGCAUUGCCCGGUAGCUAAGUGCGGAAAAGAUAAGCGCUGAAAGCAUCUAAGCGCGAAACUUGCCUCGAGAUGAAUCUUCCCUGACUCCUUGAGAGUCCUGAAGGGACGUUGAAGACGACGACGUUGAUAGGCCGGGUGUGUAAGCGCAGCGAUGCGUUGAGCUAACCGGUACUAAUGACCCGUGAGGCUUAACCUU